rnacentral:rRNA from 1 species
AUAUUGGACAAUGGGCGAAAGCCUGAUCCAGCCAUGCCGCGUGAGUGAUGAAGGCCCUAGGGUUGUAAAGCUCUUUCACCGGUGAAGAUAAUGACGGUAACCGGAGAAGAAGCCACGGCUAACUUCGUGCCAGCAGCCGCGGUAAUACGAAGGGGGCUAGCGUUGUUCGGAAUUACUGGGCGUAAAGCGCACGUAGGCGGAUAUUUAAGUCAGGGGUGAAAUCCCGGGGCUCAACCCCGGAACUGCCUUUGAUACUGGGUAUCUAGAGUAUGGUAGAGGUGAGUGGAAUUCCGAGUGUAGAGGUGAAAUUCGUAGAUAUUCGGAGGAACACCAGUGGCGAAGGCGGCUCACUGGACCAUUACUGACGCUGAGGUGCGAAAGCGUGGGGAGCAAACAGG